GGGUAAAUCAGUAUCAACCCAUACUGAAUGUCUUAUUCAGAAUAAGGUCAAUAAUUAGAUUACUGCUGUCCAUAUAAAUGUUUUCACAUGAAAUGUAGACCCGACAUGGGUGUUAACUCAAUAAAGCUACACCGCUAAAGAAAUCAUAAUAUACCAAUCCAUAAAAAAGUUAUGUGCAAUAAAGUGGAAUGACACAGGAAUUAAGUAUUGAACAAGAAAAGGCAACUAAACAAGCUGAUUCCACUAACCAGUUCUCCUACCUGUGCUAAUUAGAAUCAGCUGGGUUAGUGCAUGAUGGUAGGUUAGUACGUCCACUCUGUGGAAAAGGGGAACCCACCUCUGAAUACAAGUAAACAAAUCAUUUGUCACCAAACUGUCGCGCAAGAAACAUCUCAUGAUGAGUAGAAGCAAAGCGCUCUCCAAAGAAUUACUCCCAAAUGUUCCUUUAAGCACUAUUAGGUGACUAUCAACCGGCCACACGCAGGAGCUCCUCGCAAGAUUUCUGACAGGGCUGACAGAAAGUUACGCCGAGGAGAAGCCCAAGAGCCGAGGACCACUCGAAAAGCUCUCCAGAAAGAACUGGAAGCAGCGAGUACAGUCGUCAGAGAAAGCAAUAUGCAGUGCGCAAUACUGCUACAGUCUCCAUUCACCAUAACGCCUUGAUUCCAUUACUGUAGAAAAGGCAUGUUGAAGCUCGUUUCAAGCUUGCUACAAAACAUUUGGAGAAGCCUGUAGGUUACUGAGAGAAUGUAAUGAGGUCAGACGAGACAAAGAUCAAACUGUUCAAUGCUCUAUUGUUUUCUCUGCAUACGACUCUAAAAAUGAAGUUCGGAGGUGGAAGCAUCACGG
ensembl:lncRNA